GGAAGGGAGCCAAGUUUCUGUCCCGGCAGCAGGGACGGCGGUGAGGGGCCAUGCUGGGAGAGGCCAGCGGUCAACAAAUGCACCAACAGAUCUGGAAAACAUGAGAUCCCAGAAGUGCUAUGCAGAGAAUUAAAAUAGAGGGACGUCCUAGGGCGGUCCCUCUGAGAAGGUCACUUUUCAGAUCCUUGGUGUGAACCGCCUUCAUCUUCCUUGGUUUCUCCAAAGGACUGUAGAAGAAAAUACGCCAGUUCAGUGAGCACUGUGGUUAGCAAACUCUUGGCACCUACUAACCGUGUAUCUGAAUAAUAAAGGAGUUCCUAAGAUCCUAGAUCACCCUCCCAGCCUUUCCCCCUCGCCCCUCCCACAUCCAGCACAUGAAGCCUGAGCCUCACUGAGCUGGGGGGGACACCUCCUCUCCAGAAACCCUCCCUGCCUUCUCUCCUCCCUUCUUCCCUGUCUCCUUCCUUCCCCUCACAGUUUCAAUACUCAUGUAUAUGUCCUCAGUCAA